rnacentral:misc_RNA from 1 species
UAUGAGUGAAUUGUGUUGCCCCAA